rnacentral:rRNA from 1 species
UACGGAGGGUGCGAGCGUUAAUCGGAAUUACUGGGCGUAAAGAGCGUGUAGGCGGCUGAUCAAGUCGGGUGUGAAAGCCCGGGGCUUACCCCCGGAAGUGCGCUCGAAACUGGUCAGCUAGAGUAUGGGAGAGGGAAGUGGAAUUCCUGGUGUAGCGGUGAAAUGCGUAGAUAUCAGGAGGAACACCGGCGGCGAAGGCGGCUUCCUGGACCAAUACUGACGCUGAGACGCGAAAGCGUGGGGAGCAAACAGG